GUUAACGUGUACCAUGGUGGUUUGCUGCACAGAUCAGCCCAUCACCUAGGUAUUAGGCCCAGCAUCCACUAGCUAUUCUUCCUGAUGCUCUCCCUCACCCUACCCCCCUAUUUUUCCAUCUUCUGAUAUGGCUGUUCACCUUACACAAAAAUAGCUGCUGUAGCUGUGUGCCAUAUUGCUGCUAGUUAAUUUUGUCAUUUGGUUUCUACUGAGCACAGAUUUUCUAUCACUGAGCACAGAUUCAUGCAGAAUUAAUGGAUAUCCUGAAAGGUAAGUGGAGAGAAUUAAGAGAAAUUAUCUGUACUCCAUGCUCAUGUACGAAACCGUUUGGCUCUUCUAUUUAACUAUAUAGUCAGAAUGGCAAACCUCCCAUUUCCCAUUGAGGAUACAUGGCAUGUGAAGGCUAGAAUUUCAGACCUUCAUCUUUGUGACACUUCCAUAGACUGGUACCUGGUGACCUUUGUCCCUUCUUGGAAACUGCCUUUGUGAUGUACCUGCCCUUGUCAUGUCCCUUGAUUCUGACCUCUACUACCACCACCAACACCACCAUCCAUCAGAACUAUCCCUUAAUGUACCUGAAAUAACUCAAUAAGUAACACCAACCUUCCUCGAGUUUUAUGACCACUUGUCACUAAACUUUUGUGUGACCACCUGUUUUAAAGUACAUCUGCAUCAUUGAUCAGCAGUUGCAGAGACUGGGUGGUGAUGAGGGCAAGUGUGAAUGCAGAAGAUGGGUCUGGAGGCCACUGCAAAAAUCAAGACUAGAGAUCAUGGUGACUGGGACUAGGUUUGUGAUAUUAGGGAUGAAGUAAUGUAAACCAAUAUGGGGUGUAUUUGGAAGUUUAAUUAAAAGUUCUCACUUAUGAAUUGGAUUUGGAGUGAGGAAAGAGAAAUGAAUCAAAGAUUAGCCCCUUAGUUUUGUCUUGAAUUACUAGGUAGGUGUUGAUGCAAAAAUGACAGGGGGAAGAUUGUAAGAGGAGAUGGCUUUUUGCAGAGGUGAGAAAUUAAGACUGCUGCUCUGGAUUUGUUACAUUUAAAUGCUAAGUGAAGAUUUCAAAUACACUGUUGGCUAUGGGAAUCUGUCUUUGGACAUAGAGAUUUCAUAGUGAAUGACGUAUUGACAUGUGAGAUUACCUAGGAAAGUAAUUAGAGUAGAGAGUACAGGACUGAGUCCUAAAGCAUCUCAGUACUGAGAGUUUGAGCACAAUGGGUAGAGCCAACAAAGAAGAUUAUGAAGACUGCCGGAGAGAUACAGGCAGAAAAACAGGGAAGUAUGGUGCCCCAGAGGUCAGAAGAAGCAAGUACUUCAUGAAGAAGUGGUUGCCCAGCUGUGAUGAACAUCAGGGAAGAUGAAAACAAAGAAGUGAAUAAUGGAUUGGCAAUCAAGAUGGCCUCGACCAUAUAAUUCUCUGUGGCCAGUAUUGUGAACACUAAUCUCCUGUGGCUCUUUAAGUUUAAAUUUACAUUAAUUCAGAUUAAAUAAAAUUAAAAACUCUUCAGUCAUAUUAGGCAUAUUUCAAAUGCUCAGUAGCCACAUGGGCGUAGUGGCUGCCAUAUGGGACAGCACAGAAAGAGGGCAUUUCCAUCAUGCAGAAAGUUCUGUUGGGGAGUACUGUGGAUGGGAAGUACAGGCCCUGAAUGGGCACAUCCUCCUCUGUCCUGACAGACUCCUCAUUCUGUGGUGAGGGGUAUGGCCAGAGGCAGACCAGAGCAGGGCCCUCGAUGGCAUUGGGUCCAGUGUUCCUGAUUUAAAGAGGAUGAUUAUCAAAAGUCUUUUCUUUUAUUGAAUGUAAGUGUUUUUUUCUGUAGUGACACCUAUGGGAGAUUCAGGACACUGGAGAAUGUGAUUGUGAGGGCUUGGGUUGUCUGGGAAAAUGGUAUUUUGUGGGCCGUAUUUGCGCUAGCCUAAAGAUGAAUAAGAUUCAGAUCCACAACAGGGUAUUGAUAUGUCCUUCAGCUGAGAAAAGAGAAGAAUAUAGGUACAGUUGCAUUUUAGACAAACAACACAUUCAAUCCUCAGAACAACUUUAGGAGGGCAGGUACUGUUAAUAUCUUCCUUCCAGAUGAGAAAGAGUUCCAUCUUAUUUCGAGACAUAAUAUUGAUAGGUAAACUGAGGUUUUAUUCUGUUAGCUUUUUGGAAACUAAGUAGGGGAGUUAAAGUUUUCACAUAGUGGUCAAAAAAAAUGUUUCUGUUUUUCCCAACUGCGUUAAAUUCGGAGAAGGUACCUCAGAAAGGCAGGCUGAUCAGCUUUCUCCAGAUAACUUCUAUCUAUAAUUAAGUUGACUGCCACUCCAUUUUAUCAGAGUUCAUGGCAGAAUAGCUACUCAGUGUGGAACAGAAAUAUGGUUUAUCUCACACAAUGUCAUAUCACCCUAAAUUUAACUUCCAACAAAAGUUAAUGCUUUUUUAAAAUAUGAGUUAAUUAUUUUAUCAACUAUCUACUAGAGGCAAAUGCCCUACCUUUUGUCAUGUUGUUCUUUACAGUUAAACUAUGUACAUGCCUGUUUGUCACACUGGGUUAUAAGCUCCUUGAAGCAAAGAUGGAUGUAUCUUUGCUUUACCGUGGAGUGCUCUCCCCAAAGCUUUGCAAAUAAUUAGACAUGUAAUAGAAAUAGCUUGGAUUGAAUUAACUACCAUGUUAACUGCUGCUGAAAUCAGGUUCAGGUCAGCAGUAUCCCCCAUCUAUUUUCCUUUUGUGCUUGAUCUUAGGGGGUUCUUCCCUGUCACAUCUCUUCAGUUUACCAAAGAGAAAAAGAAAAAUCCCUAACCACGUGCUACCUUGAUUGGAUGUCGUGUCGUUUAUGUAAGGCAGGUUACCAGUUUGGCAAGGACAUUUAAAUUUAUCGUCUGACUUCUGCAGUACUGUGCCACGCAUUCCUAAGGCUUGUAUGAUAACUGGUACUUCAACAAAGAGAAACUUGUGAGGCUGAUUCAAUCACUCAUUUUUUUCUCAUGCAAAUAACUGUUUUUGUUUUUAAAGAGUUUAUUGCUAUUCUCAUUGAAGUUGCUUUUUAAUAAAAGGAUGUACAGUAAUGCAUGAUCUUUUAUUUAAUAGCCACCAACAAACUUCAGAAUGUAUUUUAAAAAGAGGGGGACAAUAUAAUAUUGAUUUUAAUGAUAGUAAUUAUUUGGAGAAGAAAUUCUGAAUUUAGCAGUCCUCCUCACAAUGAUUAGAUUAGUACAUUUUGCAUUUGGGGAUGAUUAUUUAAAUUUAACAGAAGACGAUUUACAAAGACAGUACUAUAACAAUACAAUGAACAGGAAAAUGAAGAAAGAGUAUGACUCCUGAGUAAGACCCUUUUGCCUGAACAUGAGAUGGUUCCCUAAAUCGCCCUAUACAUGAGGCUGCUGUUUAUUUCCUUCCAUAAUUUGCUUUAAAAUAUGUUAAUGAUAAAUUCUGUUGGUGUACAAUACAUUGUAUUGCUUCUGGUUUGAAAUAUUCGUAAUUCUUUUGUAAUGUUUUUAAGAUGAUAUCAAAACAUUAGAAGCAUUCAUUUUGGAUUUUAUCAUUGGCUCUUAUGGAUCAAAUAUUAUAAUUUUUAUUUAAAUCACCGUUUAAUCGUGGCAUAUGAUUACUUAUGUGUUCUUUUGUUGGUAAUACAAAAAUCCAAAGUCUAUAAAAAUCAAAUUCUGUAGUUGACAUUUCUCAUGCAGCCUGUUUUUGAAACGGAAGUGUUACAUAUCAGUGAUUUUAAAACUCUUUACAUGUUUAUUCACUAAAUACAUUGACUUGCUUUUAAAUUCAGAAUUAUUUACUUCCUUAAAUCUAUAUACACUUUGUGUAAUAAAUUAAAAUCUAAGUACAAA